GGAGAAGCAACGCAAGACCCCGGAAGCAUGCCAACGUGUAAAACCCCAAGUCAAAGGUCAAACAGUGCACUGGAUCUCUCAAGUCGCCUGCUUGGCCCUCUACUAAAAAGGGAGAUGCCAUGUGCUGGCCCAGCACUCCAACAGGGGCCUGACCUCUAGGAACGGGACACUGGAGGAAGCCUAGACAUCUGAACAAAUCAAGUCAUCCAGAUCCACGGUCAGCUCCUGCCCCGACUUGGCCUUCCUCCUGCUGGGCUGGCCCACGGACCUCGGGAACCUGCCCUGGCUGUGGGUGACCUGCAGCCUAUCUCCCAGGACUAUGGAAGCCCCAUGCAGGAACAUGGUUCUGACACUUUGGGGAUUAUACCCUAAGCUUAAAGGACUGGAAAAGCCCCUGAAGUCCCGAGACCACAACCCUCCACCUUCUAAAGAUAAGACAAGUCACUGAAGGUCUCAGAACUGUGGCCCAUUCACCCCUUCCCUCAAGACAAGAGUGUGGCCAAGCAUCAAUCUCACCCCCAGAGACCAGACGGUGUCCAGGUCUUGGGCAGACGAAACCUGCUCCUUGGGGAUGGUCUUCCUGGCUGUGCUUCCAAAGGGCUGGCCUGCAAUCAGCUGGUUUUCACUUGAUCCUUUCGGGGUUUGCAUUAUAUCUGACUGAAGGAAUGAACUGGGAGAGAACAGCAGAGCCGCAGCGGAAUGUGGAAAGGCCCACGUCCAGACUGUUCCCAUUCUGAUUUAAAAGCCUGAUGAAGGAACAGCUGAACUCAGAGAAACAGCAGGUGAAAGUAAAUUUUUUAUUUAUUUUUUCUUCCUUUUGCCAACAUUCUGCAUCACCUCUUGUUUCUAGCCUCACUUUCAUUCCAGCAGCUUCUCGGGUGUGGCUGUGGCUGUGGCUGUCUGGCUUCCCUUCUAUUGAUACCUCUGGCAGCCUUUGAGGGAUGAGAGGGCGUGGGGGUUUCCACUGCAAACAUGAGGGAGUAGGUUGAGUGCUUCGUUGUUGAGGUGAGCUUCCCUGAUGGGGUUGAACCCUGUAUAUCAGAAAGAAGCCCAACCACCCUUUUGCUAUUUCAUAGUGAAGCAUUGCAUUGAAUCUCCUGGAGCAGACAUAAAUGAAUGUUGUGGCUCUGGAGUGGUAAAAGAGAUUGCAAACAAACAGUCUUCAUAUCUCCUGGGGGUGCUUUUUACUGAGCUAACAUAGCUAAGCUGGAAAUGUGUUUUCUAGUAUUCCAUUCUCUGUGUGUUGCUGGCCACAAAGAGACUUGUGUGUCUAAGUCUUGGAAGAUGUAAGAGAAGGAGCUGCCAUUUUGUGUGCUCUGAGGUGGGUAAAGGGCACCAGAUGCUGUGGCAGCUCACACAGGUCUGUCAUCUGCUAGCCUUGCCUUGCGGGUGGGGCCAUAUCCUGAGCCUCGCACAACCUCAGCUCCCACUGGAUCUCUUCCUUCAGCUCCUCUGAGCCCUGGGCCAGAUGUGUGUACAGCUCCAUGGUGAAAGCCACCAACUUUUCCAGUAGGUCUUCUGCAUCUUUUGGGUGGGAGGUGGUGAGAAAGAGAGGUGGGCUCUAUUUCAUCCUUUUGAGGGGAAAUGGGAAAAUACCUCUUGUCCUCUACUUCCUCAAUUUCACACCCAACUCUCCUUCCUAACUCCCAGUCCAGGCGAUAUAGAACAAAUUCAGCCCAGUAUCAGAUACUACCUUUACAGAGAUUUCACAACCAGUCUCACCAUUGUGCAGAUCCUAAUCCCUGUUAUAAAUUCUAUAUAUUGGUUCUGUUUCUCCAAUUGAACCCUGACUGAAAAAGCUCUUCAUGGCUACUGUUGCCUGCGAAUUUUAUCUCUUGAAUUAGUAGAUGGUUAUACUGCUCUGCCAGGACUGUUUGACUUCCUGAACAGAAAGCGUAAAUGGUAAAGUGUGGAUUGUGAUUAAAUCAUUGAUGACCUACUACAGGUUGGUAGUUUGUUCUGUCUGAAUUGCAUCUUAAAGAAGCUCAUUGAAAUGUCUUAUAUGGUGACAUACUUCCUUUUCUCCAGUGUUAUUUAAUGUUCUCUUAUUUUUAUAGCCCUUGACCUUAGCCUUUUAUUUAAAGCUACUGAGGGGCUUAGAUUACUGUUGCCAUUUUUCUUGGGAUUAUGCUAAUCCAGGUUUUCAUUUUACUAUGUCAAUCUCCACUUACAUUUUUUUUAACUCUGCUGGUUUCCUUUAUAAAGUCACUAUCUCUUCUUCUUCUCUUAAUUUGCGUCCCUUAUUUCAGAGACAAUGAUUUCAUUUUAUUUCACUGAGUGAGAGAAGCAAAUGUCUAAAAUUUACAUUUUGCUUUCUGUAGAAAGCUCCUUUCUAAAAUCUGCGUUUUUCUUUACCUCUGGCAUGCUGCAUUCAUUUCCUUUUUUAUGCUGCAGAAUUUCUGUGUUUGCGCCCCCAUCCUGUGAGUGAGUGUUCUCUGGCUUCCCUCCCUGUUCCCAGGAAUGCUAUGGGACUUCAUCUUUCAUAUGCUUACUGGUGAAGGCUGCUGCAUGAUGACUUUGUAGGCUGAGGGAGUGGAGAAAAAGGUGAGGCUGGGAGCACUCUAAAAAGAAGAAUUUGGUGUUUGUUCUGUUGACUCCUUCUUUCUUAUACAGGAGGGCAGUUCUCUUCUUGUAUUCCUUUGUUUUUGGUGUGUUGUUUGUGUGUUUGUUUUUUGUUUAUUUUGACACAAAGUCUUGCUCUGUCGCCCAGGCUGGAGUGCAGUGGUGCGAUCUUGGCUCACUGCAACCGCCUCCUCCCGGGUUGAAGCGAUUCUCCCACCUCAGCCUCCAGAGUAGCUGGGAUUACAGGUGUGCACCAUAACACCCGGCUAAUUUUGUAUUUUUAGUAGAGCCGGAUUUUCACCAUGUUGGCCAGACUGGUCUCAAACUCCUGGCCUUAAGUGAUCUGCCCAUCUCGGCCUCCCAAAGUGCUGGGAUUACAGGCGUGAGCGACCGUGCCCGGCCACUUCUUGUAUUCCUUUGUUCAGCAUGGCCUCUUCCUCAGGUCUUCGAUGUGGCUUAGUGUCCCUCUCAAGAACUUUUCCACAACAGGGACAGGAUCUCACCACAGCAGAGAGAAUCAGAAUCAGUGAAAAACACCCAUGCCUGGAGACUUCUUGUUUAGAACGGCCACUCUUGUUUUGAUCCUUCACAUCCCCUCCAAUCUAAUUCUGAAUUUUUUUUCUUUACUGUGGCAAAAUACACAUAACAUAAACUUACAUGUUACCGUUUUUAAGUGUCCAGUUCAGUGGCAUUAAGAACAUGCACAUUGUUUGGCAAUCAUCACGAGUAUUCAUAUUCAGGACUUUAUUCAUCUUCCUCAACAGAAACCCCCCAUACCCACUAAACAACAAGCCCUCAUUUUCCCCUGCCCCACCAGCCCCUGACAACCGCCAUUCUUCUUUCUGUCUCUAGGAAGCUGAUUACUCUAGGUACCUAUGAGGGUGGAGUCAUACAGUAUUUGUUUUUGUGACUGGCUGAUUUCACUCAGCGUAAUGUCUUCGAGGUCCAUUCAUGUUGUGUGAACAUGGAAGCUAUAAAUUGAGGUGUCAGAACCACAAGAUGGAAGUACGUUGGAUUUCUGAGUCACCACCUGGAGGAGAGCUUCCCUGCAGCAUUGCUGGAAUCUGAUGUGAACUAGAUAUUCAUCUUGAUCGUGUUGACUUGAACCUAAUUCAGGCCUAAGACAUAAUAUAUACUGCAUAAUAUAUGCCGUAUAAUGAUAAUAUAUUUAUGCAGCCUUUAUUGAUAUGAGUAGUGGUUUAUCUCAGUUUUAUAAUAAAAAUCUCUCAAAGAACAUUGACUCCAAGGAAUAACAAUCACAAAAGGAUUACAGCUUUGUUUAACACUUUCUGCAAAUCCUUGAAGCUGAUCUUUCCUGUUGUUUCUAAUCCCAAUAGCCAGCCUAAACCUUUUGGUGUAAUCUCAUGUAUUCUGACCUCUGUUAUUUCCUGCUGCUUAAUGAUCUUUCUAUAAAUUGUAUGGGAAAUGAAGCAAAUGUAAUUACAGUGUCUGCCAGCCCUGAUGCAGAUAAAUAGGUGGGAGUCUGGCCAAGUGUCUCCCCAAGCUAGCCUUUGGUGUCUUUCACUCACAGCAGAAAGAAAUAGGUCAUAAAUUACAGCACUGAUUUGUUCCAAUGAUAUCAUUAGCUCCUGGAAAACAAGGAUCAUGAAAAACCCAUUUCAAAUGAACAUAUGAGUCAAUACCAACCAAGCAUCUUUUGGAAAAGAGCCCUUAUAAAUUCAUACUAGAAUUCUGACUCCUAAGUGAAUAUCUCUGGAUCUUCAGAACAUAGAAGACUUAGCUCCAGCCCAUGCAUCAGUCCCUUCAGACCAUAGAGUCAUAACCAGGCCUAUUGAAAGAGCUGGUUACAUGAGACAGUCAGAGAUUUACCUAGGUGAGAAAAUAAAGAUUAGAUGGUUUGAAGCAGAGUUCUAGCCCUUCCAAAUCAGACCUCCAACCCCUUUCUUAAUUCUAUAGUUUGUAGUUUUCAAAGGAGAAGUUGUAAU
rnacentral:lncRNA from 1 species